GUGCCAGCAGCCGCGGUAAUACGUAGGGUGCAAGCGUUGUCCGGAAUUACUGGGCGUAAAGAGCUCGUAGGUGGUUUGUCACGUCGUCUGUGAAAUUCCACAGCUUAACUGUGGGCGUGCAGGCGAUACGGGCUGACUUGAGUACUGUAGGGGUAACUGGAAUUCCUGGUGUAGCGGUGAAAUGCGCAGAUAUCAGGAGGAACACCGAUGGCGAAGGCAGGUUACUGGGCAGUUACUGACGCUGAGGAGCGAAAGCAUGGGUAGCAAACAGGAUUAGAUACCCUGGUAGUCCAUGCCGUAAACGGUGGGCGCUAGGUGUAGGGACCUUUUGGGGUUUCUGUGCCGUAGCUAACGCAUUAAGCGCCCCGCCUGGGGAGUACGGCCGCAAGGCUAAAACUCAAAGGAAUUGACGGGGGCCCGCACAAGCGGCGGAGCAUGUGGAUUAAUUCGAUGCAACGCGAAGAACCUUACCUGGGCUUGACAUACACUGGAUCGCUGCAGAGAUGUAGUUUCCCUUGUGGCUAGUGUACAGGUGGUGCAUGGCCGU
rnacentral:rRNA from 1 species